rnacentral:lncRNA from 1 species
CAAGGAGAAGAUUGCUCGUGAAGAGGAGAGAGCAAGAAAGCUUGCAAGGGCUCGUGAAGCCCAAGAGGAGGAUGAGGCACGCGACAAAAAAGGAAAAUGGCCUCGUGUGACCCAAUAAGGCCUUCGUUUCAAAAAACUAGUCAUGAACUAUGCCUUCGAUUCGAGAAACAUGUGAUGAACUAUGUUUUUGAUUUGUGAUACCUAUCAUGAACUAUGUACUUUAUUUGUGAAACCUAUCAUGAACUAUGUCUUUGAUUUGUGAAACUUGUGAUGAACUACGUCUUCGAUUAGAUGAAACUUGCUGUUGCUGUGACUUCAUUUGUCUUCAAGUGAAGAAGAGGAAAAAUAGAACAAACACUGCUCUGCUUUGCCACCUACCCCAGACCCCAUGGCGGCAGGAUUUGAAACCUUACCGCUAGAGGUUACGGUGGUAGGUUGGCGAAAUCUUCUGUGACCGGAAUGGGAAAUUUGCUGGCGGUAGGUUUGGCCACCCUACCACCGGCCCUCUCGGCGUGUGCGUAGGAAAUUUUUUGAAAUUACUACGUUCCCCAACAGUGGCAUCCGAGCCUAGGUUUUAUGCGUAGAUGUCAUAUGCACGAGUAGAACACAAGUGAGUUGUGGGCGAUACAAGUCAUACUGCUUACCAGCAUGUCAUACUUUGGUUCAGCGGUAUUGUGAGAUGAAGCGGCCCGGACCGACAUUACGCGUACGCUUACGCGAGACUGGUUUCACCGUUAUGAGCACUCGUGCUUAAAGGUGGUUGGCGGGUGUCUGUCUCUCUCACUUUAGCUGAAUCGAGUGUGGCUACGCCCGGUCCUUGCGAAGGUUAAAACAACACUAACUUGACGAACUAUCGUUGUGGUUUUGAUGCGUAGGUAAGAACUGUUCUUGCUAAGCCCAUAGCAGCCACGUAAAACUUGCAACAACAAAGUAGAGAACGUCUAACUUGUUUUUGCAGGGCAUGUUGUGAUGUGAUAUGGUCAAGACGUGAUGCUAUAUUUUAUUGUAUGAGAUGAGCUGGCAGGAGCCAUAUGGUUGUCGUUUUAUUGUAUGAAAUGCAAACGCCCUGUAAUUGCUUUACUUUAUCACUAAGCGGUAGCGAUAGUCAUAGAAGCAAUAGAUGGCGUAAACGACAAUGAUGCUACGAUGGAGAUCAAGGUGUCGCGCCGGUGACGAUGGUGAUCACGAAAGUGCUUCGGAGAUGGAGAUCACAAGCACAAGAUGGUGAUGGCCAUAUCAUAUCACUUAUAUUGAUUGCAUGUGAUGUUUAUCCUUUAUGCAUCUUAUCUUGCUUUGAUUGAUGGUAGCAUUUUAAGAUGAUCUCUCACUAAAAAUUAUCAAGAAGUCUUCUCCCUGAGUAUGCACCGUUGCCAAAGUUCGUCGUGCCCAGACACCACGUGAUGAUCGGGUGUGAUAAGCUCUACGUCCAUCUACAACGGGUGCAAGCCAGUUUUGCACACGCAGAAUACUCAGGUUAAACUUGACGAGCCUAGCAUAUGUAGAUAUGGCCUCAGAACACGGAGACCGAAAGGUCGAGCGUGAAUUAUAUAGUAGAUAUGAUCAACAUAGUGAUGUUCACCAUUGAAAACUACUCCAUCUCACGUGAUGAUCGGUUAUGGUUUAGUUGAUUUGGAUCACGUGAUCACUUAGAUGACUAGAGAGAUGUCUGUCUAAGUGGGAGUUCUUAAGUAAUAUGAUUAAUUGAACUUAAAUUUAUCAUGAACUUAGUACCUGAUAGUAUUUUGCUUGUCUAUGUUUGUUGUAGAUAGAUGGCUCGUGUUGUUGUUCUGUUGAAUUUUAAUGCGUUCCUUGAGAAAGCAAAGUUGAAAGAUGUUAGUAGCAAUGAUGCGGAUUGGAUCCGUGAUCUGAGGUUUAUCCUCAUUGCUACACAAAAAAAUUAUGUCCUUAAUGCACCGCUAGGUGACAGACUUAUUGCAGGAGCAGAUGCAGACGUUAUGAACGUUUGGCUAGCUCAAUACGAUGACUACUUGAUAGUUUAGUGCACCAUGCUUAACGGCUUAGAAUCGGGACUUCAAAGACGUUUUGAACGUCAUGGACCAUAUGAGAUGUUCCAGGCGUUGAAGUUAAUAUUUCAAGCAAAUACCCGAGUUGAGAGAUAUGAAGUCUCUAACAAGUUCUAUAGCUAAAAGAUGGAGGAGAAUCGCUCAACUAGUGAGCUUGUGCUCGGAUUGUCUGGGUACUUCAAUCGCUUGAAUCAAGUGGGAGUUAAUCUUCCAGAUAAGAUAGUGAUUGACAGAAUUCUCUAGUCACCAUCACUAAGUUACUAGAACUUCGUGAUGAACUAUAGUAUGCAAGGGAUGACGAAAACGAUUCCCGAGCUCUUCGUGAUGUUGAAAUCGACGAAGGUAGAAAUCAAGAAAGAGCAUCAAGUGUUGAUGAUUGACAAGACCACUAGUUUCAAGAAAAGGGCGAAGGGAAAGAAAGGGAAACUUCAAGUAGAAUGGCAAACAAGUUGUCACUCCCGUGAAGAAGACCAAAGCUGGACCAAAGCCUGAAACUGAGUGCUUACACUGCAAAGGAAAUGGUCACUAGAAGUGGAAAUGCCCUGAAUAUUUGGUGGAUAAGAAGGAUGGCAAAGUAAGCAAGGGUAUAUUUGAUAUACAUGUUAUUAAUGUGUACCUUACUAGUGUUUAUAGUAGCCCCUGUGUAUUUGAUACUUGUUCAGUUGCUAAGAUUAGUAACUCGAAACAGGAGUUACAGAAUAAACAGAGACUAGUUGAAGGGGCAGUGACGAUGAGUGUUGGAAGUAGUUCCAAGAUUGAUAUGAUCAUCAUCGCACACUCCCUAUACUUUCGGGAUUAGUGUUAAACCUAAAUAAAUGUUAUUUGGUGUUUGCGUUGAGCAUGAAUAUGAUUUGAUCAUGUUUAUUGCUAUACGGUUAUUCAUUUAAAGUCAGAGAAUAAUUGUUGUUCUGUUUACAUGAAUAAAACCUUCAAUGGUCAUAUACCCAAUGAAAAUAGUUUAUUGGAUCUCGAUCGUAGUGAUACACAUAUUCAUAAUAUUGAUGCCAAAAGAUGCAAAGUUAAUAAUGAUAGUGCAACUUAUUUGUGGCACUGCCGUUUGGGUCAUAUCGGUGUAAAGCGCAUGAAGAAACUCCACAAACAUGGAUUUUCAGAAUCACUUGGUUAUGAAUCAUUUGAUACUUGCGAACCGUGCCUUUUGGGCAAGAUGACUAAAACUCCGUUCUUCGGAACAAUGGAACGAGCAACAAACUUGUUGGAAAUAAUACAUACUGAUGUAUGCAGACCAAUGAGUAUUAAGGCUCGUGACAGGUAUCGUUAUUUUCUAACCUUCAUAGAUGAUUUAAGUAGAUAUGGGUAUAUCUACUUGAUGAAACAUAAGUCUGAAAUAGUUGAAAGGUUCAAAGAAUUUCAGAGUGAAGUGGAAAAUCAUCGUAACAAGAAAAUAAAGUUUCUGCGAUCUGAUCGUGGAGAUGAAUAUUUGAGUUACGAGUUUGGUCUUCAAUUAAAACAAUGUGGAAUAGUUUCACAGCUCACGCCACCUAGAACACCACAAACGUUAUGGUGUGUCCGAACGUCGUAACCGCACUUUAUUUGAUAUGGUGCGAUCAAUGAUGUCUCUUACUGAUUUACCAAUAUCGUUUUGGGGUUAUGCAUUAGAGACAGCUGCAUUCACGUUAAAUAGGGCACCAUCUAAAUCCGUUGAGAUGACACCUUAUGAACUGUGCUUUGGCAAGAAACCCAACUUGUCGUUUCUUAAAGUUUGGGGUUGCGAUGCUUAUGUGAAAAAGUUUCAUCCUGAUAAGCUCAAACCCAAAUCGGAGAAGUGUGUCUUCAGAGAAUACCCAAAGGAAACUAUUGGGUACACCUUCUAUCACAAAUCCAAAGACAAGAUAUUCGUUGCUAAAAAUGGAUCCUUUCUAGAGAAGGAGUUUCUCUUGAAAGAAGUGAGUGGGAGGAAAGUAGAACUUGAUGAGGUAACUGUACCUGCUCCCUUAUUGGAAAGUAGUUCAUCACAAGAACCGGUUCCUGUGACAACUACACCAAUUAGUGAGGAAGCUAAUGGUAUUGAUCAUGAAACUUCAGAUCAAGUUUCUACUGAACCUCAUAGGUCUACCAGAGUAAGAUCCGCACUAGAGUGGUACGGUAAUCCUAUUCUGGAAGUCAUAUUACUUGACCAUGAUGAACCUACGAACUAUGAAGAAGUGAUGAUGAGCCCAGAUUCCGCAAAAUGGCUAGAGGCCAUGAAAUCUGAGAUGGGAUCCAUGUAUGAGAACAAAGUGUGGACUUUUGUGGACUUGCCCAUUGAUCGGUAAGCCAUAGAAAAUAAAUGGAUCUUCAAGAGGAAGACGGACACUGAUAGUAGUGUUACUAUCUACAAAGCUCGACUUGUUGUGAAAGGUUUUUCAACAAGUUCAAGGUGUUGAAUACAAUGAGAUUUUCUCACUUGUAUCGAUGCUUAAGUCUGUCCGAAUCAUGUUAGCAAUUGCCACAUUUUAUGAAAUGUGGCAAAAGGAUGUCAAGACUGCAUUCCUUAAUGAAUUUAUUAAAGAAGAGUUGUAUAUGAUGCAACCAGAAGGUUUUGUCAAUCCUAAAGGUGCUAACAAAGUGUGCAAGCUCCAGCGAUCCAUUUAUGGACUGGUGCAAGCUUCUCGGAGUUGGAAUAUACGCUUUGAUGAGUUGAUCAAAGCAUAUAUAUGGUUUUAUACAGACUUUUUGAGAAGCCUGUAUUUACAAGAAAGUGAGUGGGAGCUCUGUAGCAUUUCUAAUAUUAUAUGUGGGUGACAUAUUGUUGAUUGGAAAUGAUAUUGAAAUUGUGGAUAGCAUGAAAGGACACUUGAAAAGAGUUUUUCAAAGCAAGACCUCGGUGAAGCUGCUUACACAUUGAGCAUCAAGAUCUAUAUAGAUAGAUCAAGACGCUUGAUAAGAUUUUUCAAUGAGUACAUACCUUGAUAAAUUUUUGAAUAGUUCAAAAUGGAACAGUCAAAGGAGUUCUUGCCUGUGAUGCAAAGGUGUGAAGUUGAGUAAGACUCAAGACCCGACCAUGGUAGAAAAUAGAAAGAGAAUGAAAAGUCAUUCCCUAUGCCUCAGUCAUAGGUUCUAUAAAGUAUGAUAUGCUGUGAAUCAGACCUAUUGUAUACCUUGCUCUGAGUUUGACAAAGGAAUACAAUUUUGAUCUAAGAGUAGAUCACUGGACAACGGUCAAGAAUAUCCUUAGUGAGAACUAAGGAGAUGUUUCUCGAUUAUGGAGGUGAUAAAAGAGCCCGUCGUAAAAAGUUACAACGAUGCAAGCUUUUACACCAAUCCAGAUGACUCUAAGUCUCAAUCUGGAUACAUAUUGAAAGUGGGAGCAAUUAGCUAGAGUAGCUCCGUGCAGAGCAUUAUAGACAUAGAAUAUUUGCAAAAUACAUCCGGCUCUGAAUAUGACAGACCCAUUGACUAAGCUUCUCUCACGAGCAAAACAUGAUCACACCUUAGUACUCUUUGGGUGUUAAUCACAUAGCGAUGUGAACUAGAUUAUUGACUCUAGUAAACCAUUUGGGUGUUGGUCACAUGAUGAUGUGAACUAUGGGUGUUAAUCACAUACAGAUGUGAAUAUUGGUGUUCAAUCACAUGAUGAUGUGAACUAGAUUAUUGACUCUAGUGCAAGUGGGAGACUGAAGGAAAUAUGCCCUAGAGGCAAUAAUAAAGUUAUUAUUUAUUUCCUUAUUUUACGAUAAAUGUUUAUUAUUCAUGCUAGAAUUGUAUUAACCGGAAACAUAAUACAUGUGUGAAUACAUAGACAAACAUAAUGUCACUAGUAUGCCUCUACUUGACUAGCUCGUUUAUCAAAGAUGGUUAUGUUUCCUAGCCAUGGACAAAAGAGUUGUCAUUUGAUUAAUGGGAUCACAUCAUUAGGAGAAUGAUGUGAUUGACAUGACCCAUUCCGUUAGCCUAGCACUUGAUCGUUUAGUAUGUUGCUAUUGCUUUCUUCAUGACUUAUACAUGUUCCUGUAACUAUGAGAUUAUGCAACUCCCAUUUACCGGAGGAACACUUUGGGUGCUACCAAACGUCACAACGUAACUGGGUGAUUAUAAAGGAGUACUACAGGUGUCUCCAAAGGUACAUGUUGGGUUGGCGUAUUUCGAGAUUAGGUUUUGUCACUCCGAUUGUCGGAGAGGUAUCUCUGGGCCCUCUCGGUAAUGCACAUCACUAUAAGCCUUGCAAGCAAUGUGACUAAUGAGUUAGUUACGGAAUGAUGCAUUACGUAACGAGUAAAGAGACUUGCCGGUAACGAGAUUGAACUAGGUAUUGGAUUCCGACGAUCGAAUCUCGGGCAAGUAACAUGCCGAUGACAAAGGGAACAACGUAUGUUGUUAUGCGGUUUGACCGAUAAAGAUCUUCGUAGAAUAUGUAGGAGCCAAUAUGGGCAUCCAGGUUCCGCUAUUGGUUAUUGACCGAGAAUAGUUCUAGGUCAUGUCUACAUAGUUCUCGAACCCGUAGGGUCCGCACGCUUAAGGUUUCGAUGACAGUUAUAUUAUGAGUUUAUGAGUUUUGAUGUACCGAAGGAGUUCGGAGUCCCGGAUGAGAUCGGGGACAUGACGAGGAGUCUCGAAAUGGUCGAGACGUAAAGAUCGAUAUAUUGGACGACUAUAUUCGGAGUUCGGAAAGGUUCCGAGUGAUUCGGGUAUUUUUCGGAGUACCGGAGAGUUAUGGGAAUUCGCCGGGGAGUAUAUGGGCCUUAUUGGGCCAUACGGGAAUAGAGGAGAGCGGCCAAAAGGAAGCAGGCCUGCGCCCCCCCUCUGGUCCGAAUUGGACAAGGGGCGCAGCCCCCCUUUCCUUCUUCCUCUCCCCCUCUUUCCCCUUCUCCUACUCCAACAAGGUAGGUGGAAUCCUACUAGGACUAGGGAAUCCUAGUAGGACUCCACACUUGGCGCGCCCCCUCCUAGGGCCAGCCUCCUCCCCCCUUGCUCCUUUAUAUACGGGGGCAGGGGGCACCCCAUGACACACAAGUUGAUCUACGGAUCGUUCCUUAGCCGUGUGCGGUGCCCCUCUCCACCAUAUUCCACCUCGGUCAUAUCGUCGCGGAGUUUAGGCGAAGCCCUGCGCCGGUAGAACAUCAUCAUCGUCACCACGCCGUCGUGCUGACGGAACUCAUCUACGGAGCUCUGCUGGAUCGGAGGCCGGGGAUCGUCAUCGAGCUGAACGUGUGCUGAACUCGGAGGUGCCGUACGUUCGGUGCUUGGAUCGGUCGGAUCGUGAAGACGUACGAAUACAUCAAUCGCGUUGUCAUAACGCUUCCGCUUACGGUCUACGAGGGUACGUGGACAACACUCUCCCCUCUCGUUGCUAUGCCAUCACCAUGAUCUUACAUGUGCGUAGGAAUUUUUUUGAAAUUACUACAUUCCCCAACAGAAAUAAGGUGAAUGGUAUUUGUUAUUUGGUCUUGUUUAUUUGUUUUUUGCAUACGUACAUGUUUUUUUACUUUACUAACUACCAAGUUUGUCUUUAUAGGCAUGGCUUCUUCCGGUUCCGUGACGAGGCCACCAUGUGCUAACCGCGAGGAUAUGCCGGACAAGUGGAAAAACGCCGAGUUGGAUAAGGUGAAGGACAAAGAUAUGAGAACUCCAUCAUGUUGGCGUGGAGAUGUUUGCAAAGUUAAGGUAUCCACCGACCGCAACAAGUCAUGGACAGAAGGAAGAAGAUAUUUUGUUUGUCCCAACUAUGCGUUCGGUUGUCCUCGUCCAGAUCACGCCUAUGAUGUACCGCCGGUGAGUUGUUCAAGUUCAAACGUGUCGUCAACCAUUGAAUCUAUCUUACUAAUGACCACAUUUGUUCUUUAUUCGUACCUAGUCGCUGCCUCCACUUUGUAAGUACUUCACAUGGAUAGAUCAAGAUGUUCCGGAAGAUUUUAAGAAAGAUCAACUUCGAGAUUGUCUACGGAGGCAGCGGUUGUUUGAAGAAGCAUUUCAGAGAGGCUUGGAUGAAGAGCGUCAUGAAAAGGAGAGGAUGGAGCGCAAGAAGCGUGAAGAGGAGAGGGCACGCAAGGAGAAGAUUGCUCGUCAAGAGGAGAGAGCAAGAAAGCUUGCAAGGGCUCGUGAAGCCCAAGAGGAGGAUAAGGCACGCGACAAAAAAGGAAAAUGGCCUCGUGUGACCCAAUAAGGCCUUCGUUUCAAAAAACUAGUCAUGAACUAUGCCUUCGAUUCGAGAAACAUGUGAGGAACUAUGUUUUUGAUUUGUGAUACCUAUCAUGAACUAUGUACUUUAUUUGUG